UACGUAGGCAGCGAGCGUUGUUCGGAGUUACUGGGCGUAAAGCGUGCGUAGGUGGUUCGUUAAGUCUGUCGUGAAAGCCCCGGGCUCAACCUGGGAAUGGCGAUGGAUACUGGCGGGCUAGAGUGCGGUAGAGGAGAGUGGAAUUCCCGGUGUAGCAGUGAAAUGCGUAGAGAUCGGGAGGAACAUCAGUUGCGAAGGCGGCUCUCUGGACCAGCACUGACACUGAGGCACGAAAGCGUGGGGAGCAAACAGG
rnacentral:rRNA from 1 species